rnacentral:rRNA from 1 species
CCUACGGGUGGCAGCAGUGGGGAAUAUUGGACAAUGGGCGAAAGCCUGAUCCAGCCAUGCCGCGUGUGUGAAGAAGGUCUUCGGAUUGUAAAGCACUUUAAGUUGGGAGGAAGGGUUGUAGAUUAAUACUCUGCAAUUUUGACGUUACCGACAGAAUAAGCACCGGCUAACUCUGUGCCAGCAGCCGCGGUAAUACAGAGGGUGCAAGCGUUAAUCGGAAUUACUGGGCGUAAAGCGCGCGUAGGUGGUUUGUUAAGUUGGAUGUGAAAUCCCCGGGCUCAACCUGGGAACUGCAUUCAAAACUGACUGACUAGAGUAUGGUAGAGGGUGGUGGAAUUUCCUGUGUAGCGGUGAAAUGCGUAGAUAUAGGAAGGAACACCAGUGGCGAAGGCGACCACCUGGACUAAUACUGACACUGAGGUGCGAAAGCGUGGGGAGCAAACAGGAUUAGAUACCCUAGUAGUC